rnacentral:lncRNA from 1 species
CAGGGCAUGGUGCUGCCAGGGAUCUUGGCAACUGGACAAUUCCCACCACUGGAAGGAACAAAGCAGGAAAGAUGCGUAAACAGAGAGAAUUUGGAUACCAGCUGGAGAGAACACCUCGCUUGUGCUGGUUCACUCAGCACAACACAUGUCCAUCUGAGGUGCCACGCUAGGCUCUAAGGGCAUAAUGACAAUGAGACAUGCCCCUUGCCCUGAAGAGUCCUGCCACAGGGAAAGCACUGUGGGCUUACAGGAGUUGAAAGAUGGCUGUGGGAACAUGCAGGAGCAGCGACCAGCCUCUCGGCGCUCAGGAGCAAGCUCCAGCCUGUGGUUCCUGAAGACGUCCUGCUGAGCACAAGGACAGCAGGCACAGGUCUUCGCUCUCAGACUUUCCCUCUGGUUGCUGCCCCGAGAGUGGGCCAGCCCAGGUCAGGGGAGCUGAUGACCGGCUGCUGCAAGGGAUGCCGAAGGCGCAGAGCGAAAUAGCAGAAUGUGGAGAGAGGGGACAGGAGGAUGAUGAGGGCCAAGCCCUGCAAAGAGGAGGAAGUCACUGGCAUGAAAGCAGUGGGGGCUGCAGAACAUGUAGGCUGGUGGAGGUCAGAGCACAUCUGCUCCUGGGGAGGAGCAGCUCGGGAGAGGCCGGAAGCUGCACUGGAGCUGGGGCGGCAGGCAUGUCGUCCUCGUCAGACAUAUGAGAACACAGAGGUGCAGAGGGGCCGAGCAACUGCUUCAGAGACACACAGCAUGAGUGCAGCCAGCCCCACUCCCCGUAUGGGAGCCCCGGGUGACAGGAAGGACCUCAGCCACCCCUCCAAGGAGCUGGAUCUUCAUCCUGAAGGCACCUGCGGAGCCCUAGGGAUGUGCAGCAGGAGGAAGGAGCCGACCUGCAUUCUUAGAUGCUCACUCUGACAGCUCUCCGUGCAGUGGACAAGCUGAUGCAAGAGACGCAAAGCUCCACAGAGAGUGGGAAGGGAAGUCAGAGGGACCAGGGCCAGGCUGGAGAUGGCCGUACAGGAGAAACAGCCUGCAAAGAAGGGAGGAGGAGCCAGAACGUGCCCAGCCAAGGCAAAGCAGACUUGGGUCUGUGUAUCAGUCAUUUUGGCCAAUGAGGUGGGUACAAGAGAGAAAAUAAAGGGGAAGACAUAAAUUUGGAGGGCUGGGGAGGAUUUUAUUGUGGGCUAGCCGAGGCUGGCUCCCGGGAGACAAGUAGAGACCUGGAUCUCAGGAUCACCGCCCGGGACUUCAGAUCCAUUGAGGCUUGGAAGGGAGCCAGCUCCCCUGUCCCCUCCCAAGGAGAUGGUGGGGAUUGGGGAUGAUGGAAUCAGCCCCCAGAGGCCAGAAAGCUCCAGCCUCCAGGGGGUGGAUAGAGGAAGGGGACGCUGGGAAGCCAGGCCUGCCAGAGGGGCAGCAGGGAACCCAGGGCAGCGCUGCCAGGGCAGUUGUGCCAGGAAAUUGUUUUGAGGGUUGAGCAGGCAAUGGGGCUCCCCAGAGGAGCCUUUAGGGCACUGUAGGUCUGAGAAGUAGGGUCCACUCGGCCAAAUCCCGAGGGCAGCAUGGUUUGGCCCCGGUGGUUUUAAAAAAUGGUCCUGAGGGAAGGAAGCAAGUGAAGAGAGGGACGUCACAGAAACAACCCGAAGACAUUCAGGGACUCUGAUUGCAAAGAGGAGCAGAAACGGCCAGUUUCACAAGAGCCGAGCGGGAGACAGGGUGCCAUUGGGAUUUCUGGUGAGAGAGCUGUCAAGGGGAAAGAGCUGGCUGUGAGACUAAUAUUUCAGAUCUGAAAUGGAGAGGGCAGGGGGCUCAGGGCUGCCAAGGAGGAUGGGCUUCCUUCCCUCUAGCAUGCGAGGGAGAAGAGGCCAGGAGGAGCAAGCAGGCUAGAAGGCUCUGCCCCUGGAGGAUUCGGCUUUGGGUGGAAGGGAGGUUGCCGGGAGCUGAGGUUGGGAGUAUCCUUGGGAAGCAGGCUGAGGAGACUGCAGGGGUUUGCCAUCGCUGUGAGAGGGAGGAGGACAUGCAGCUGGCCAGACACUGAAGAAGGACUUUUGUGCCACCCUGGGACUAAGAAUGCUCAGACGCCUCCUGAGCAGAGGCGGCAUGGGGCUGGCUCAGGUGCACAGGUGCUGCUGAGGCAGCUCCCAGAGAAGGAGGAGUCAGAAGUCCCUUGCGGGCAUGGGAACGUGACACCCUGCACCACGGACCAGGCCUCGAGGUAACUCAGCAGAGCACGUAGGACCGGUGACAGGGACAGAAGCGACUCAGCACAUCACAUCCUCUGGAAGAGGGUGAUCUGCCCAGAGCUGGGGGUCCCAAGACCGCAGCCCACAGCGUGAGACAGUGGCAUUUAGCCAGGAGCCAUCCGGGAGCUGCUCUGGGCACCCCUGCCUUGCUAGGUCUAGAUCCCCUGCCGACAGCAUUGCCGACCAGACAGGGAGUGGUGGUGGGAGGAAGCCCGCCCUUCCCCUCCCUCUCUCGGUAGCCACAGUCCAGUGCUGCCUUUCCUCAUUACCUGUGCACCCUCACCCACAUGGAGAGUAUGAGGUGGUCCUGCGCUCACGUACCCCCAUGCUGGGCCAGUGAUGACAGCUAUCACUGUGCCAGCCCCCAGGGAGAGAGAUUCAGAGUCAAUUGCAGGUCCCAAAUAUUGUGAAGUGGGCAUUAUUUUCACUUUACAGUCUCAGAAAGGAGGCUUGGAGAAGUCGACCAACCUUUGCCUGUGUCACAUAGUUUGAAAGGAGCAGAGCCGAGAUUUAAGCCAGGCCUGAAGAGCAAAAACCCAUUAUAAUGGGCUCUCCUGCUCCACCUGCUUUGAAGGACUGAGAAUGUACUCACAAUUCCAUCCAUCUGUCCAUCCGUCCAUCCACCCAACAUGGAAGCAUUUACUAGCCUCCCAAUUCUGCCUCGAGAUUUAGAAUGGCUAUAUUUAGCAUAAACAGGAAAAGGUUCCAAGGAGCUGAGGCAUCAGGCAGAUGGGAUGCAGUGGGACCCAUUCUUAUGCAAUCUUCAGAUUGCCUUCUACAGCCGGAAGAACCCCACAAACCUCGCCAGUCUCCUCCCCUUGUUCCCAUUUACAGAACAGCAGAGGGGGUGGGGCUGGGAAGGAAGCAGCUCUUCUCUUGUCAACUACUGGCUGUGACCUAAACAGUCCUAGGGGCUCCCUGUACUCUGCACACUGCAGGGGCCUUUGGGACCUUUUCAAAGCACCUCCAGGAAUGUUCCAUGCACUUCAGUGCUGGGAUAAAAAUUCAGGCGGGCUUAGGGCACCUAAGCAUGUUAGGGUCCCUGCUGCGCCUUCAUUCUGCCUCCUCAGCGCCUACGCCUACCUCAUCACCAUCGCCCACCAGCCCCCACCCACACAGGAAGUACAGCUUCCCUGCUCCGUCCUCCUCCUGGCCUGGUGGAAACUGAGCCAGGAAUGGGGGAUCAGUGUGCAAGCAGCCACGGACAUGGGCCUUGGUGUCCUGAGUCUCACUGAAUCCUCUCAAGAAGUUUGUGUUAGAGCAAAGGCUGCUGGUGAGUGUGACUAGAAGGUAAAGGACACGCAGGAGCGGAGCGCUAUAGGCAAGUCAAAGCCAUGGAGAAGCUGAGGUACAGGUCCUGGAGUGUGGCUGGACUGCUCACUAGAGCCCUGCUGGGUGAUGGAGGCAGGGGCUCCAUCUUGCUGGACGCCAUGGGAGGGGGGGGCAGAGUGCUCUGCCAAUCUGCCUCACUAUCUGUGGCACCCUGGGGCGUGGGGGCCUCUCGAUUUCCAGGCACAUCUGUGCGUACAAUAAAUCAUCAGGGCCUCUACGCACGAGUCAGGGCUUGCUGGGGGAGGGUGGCAGGGGAGCCGGACUCACCACACCCCACUGGUGUCCACUCUGGCCUCCUGCCCUUCUCUUUCCUGCCAGGAGUCCGGCAUCAGCUGGACAGCCCCCAGUGAAGGCUGUCCCCCACCCCGUGAAGUGUGACGCGGACAGCCACCCACCACCACUCCCUCUUGCUCUUCCAUGAAGACACAGUCACCCCUCCUGCUUCCCUGACUCCACUCCAUGUGAUCAGUCUCCCAGAGCUCAGUAUACACGCCACUGCCUCUUCCCUGGACCUGCCGAGAGACCCCACAGGAAGCCACUGCCUCAGCCUAGGAGUGGUUCCUCUAGGCUUGUUUUCAAGUUUGGUUGAUAGAUGCCUUCUGGGGUCUUUAAGGCCACUGUGAUUGUCACGCCAGAGAAGCUAGCAUCUCCCCUGCCACAAGAGAGCCACGGUAGCUGGCACUGCGCCCCAGCUCCGCACUGCGCACUCCGAUCAGCAGAGUUGCAGCAGACUCUGAGCGGACUGCCGAAGAAUAAUGUUCCACGCCCUGACUUUGCCUCCCUCAGCCAAACGCAGGGUUUUGGUUGGAGGGAAUUGACACAUUCAUGCAUUUACUUUUUAUAAAAGGAAACAGAGGCUCAGAGUGGUGACUUGUGCUAGUUCACUCUGGGAGCCCAAGGCGGGGCCGGGCUGGAAUUUGGGCUGUAGAUCUGACCAGGGCUCUGAGCGUAAGUGAAGUGUGUUGCAUUGGCUCCUCACUGUCAGUGAAGGGAGAAGAAACUUGGGGAAUGCAGACCUGCCAUGACAUACUCCUAGCAAUCUCACAGGGGCCUGGAAGUCAGGCCUGGAGGUACCUGUGGAGACCAGCCAGUGCAACUUCUCAGCUUACGGAUGAGGAGACCGGAGCCCAAAGGAGACAAGCGACUUGUUCAAGGUCUAACAGCAAACUUUGACGAGCAGGGAGCAGCACACAUAUUACCAGGAGGGCAAGCCAAAACUGCCGUUUUUGUUUGGAUUCCUUCGAGGCAUCCUUGAAUCCACUCAUUGAGUUUUCUUCCAAGUUCAUUCUCAACCAUGAGAUUGCAAGUUUCAGCAUCUAUCAAUAGCCCUUCAUACUGUUCUCCUCCCCGCAAAGCUUUGAUUGCUCCUUAUGUGGGACCGCAUAACUCUGUAAUCAUAAAAGCUCCCCCAGCCCCAACAUAGUGACUGAUUGUGAGUUAAUGGUUAAAAUGUGCUUGUUAGUUCUGGGACACUAGAUAAAAUCUGUAACAAACAUAGAGUUCCUAAGUGAAUUACCCAACUCCUUGUUUGUCCAAAACUGAUGUUCCGGACACAGCUAUCUAUAGAACAAUCUGCAAACAUCUUUUGACCAUCAACAUUUUUUUUCUCUUUUCUGUAAGUUCUGCUUGCUAACUUCCCCUGCAACCCCCUAUAAAAACAGCCUCGGACUCUCAGCCAGUUGCCUCUCUAAGCUACUUUGCUUUGGGAGUGACAUCUGGCCAGACUAAUAAUGGUCUGUUUUACUUUCCC